UCCACACCCAAGCAACAUCCUAGUCAACCUAAUGUGACACCCAUUAAAAAUUAUAGAGAUCCUAAAUCUAAUACUCAUGAUACUAGACAAGCCCCAAGUCAAGGUGUCUAAAGUGUCAUAAUGUGGAAUGGGCAGGGAUCGAACCCUACAGGCCAUAUUGACAUCAAAAAUUUGAUUUCUAAGGAAACUACUAGGCGUUGGCAAUCAUGAAAUAAACAGGCAAGUUCAGAGUCUCCAAUUGUCGAUGACAUGCUCAUAUUCUGUGGUGUCAACC
rnacentral:lncRNA from 1 species